rnacentral:rRNA from 1 species
AUUGAACGCUGGCGGCAUGCCUUACACAUGCAAGUCGAACGGUAACAGGUCUUCGGAUGCUGACGAGUGGCGAACGGGUGAGUAAUACAUCGGAACGUGCCCGAUCGUGGGGGAUAACGAAGCGAAAGCUAUGCUAAUACCGCAUACGAUCUACGGAUGAAAGCAGGGGACCGCAAGGCCUUGCGCGAACGGAGCGGCCGAUGGCAGAUUAGGUAGUUGGUGGGAUAAAAGCUUACCAAGCCGACGAUCUGUAGCUGGUCUGAGAGGACGACCAGCCACACUGGGACUGAGACACGGCUCAGACUCCUACGGGAGGCAGCAGUGGGGAAUUUUGGACAAUGGGCGAAAGCCUGAUCCAGCCAUGCCGCGUGCAGGAUGAAGGCCU